rnacentral:rRNA from 1 species
UGUAAGCGUAUACCAAAGUUGUUGCAGUUAAAACGCUCGUAGUCGGAAUUUGGCAGUUCCGGAUGUGUGCACGUCGUGUGCGCACUUCGCGGGGAUUGCUUUUGUGGUCUUGCGUAGGAUGAGGCACUUUUAUUAGUGAACGUCCUCACGCAACCACUUUUUACUGUGGGAAAAUCAGAGUGCUCAAAGCAGGCAUUUGCCGUGAAUGUAUUAGCAUGGAAUAAUAGAAUAGGACUUGGUUCUAUUUUGUUGGUUUGUUGGGACUGAGUAAUGAUUAAGAGGGACAGUUGGGGGCAUUUGUAUUUCGGCGCUAGAGGUGAAAUUCUUAGAUUGCCGAAAGACAAACUGCUGCGAAAGCGUCUGCCAAGGAUGUUUUCAUUGA